rnacentral:rRNA from 1 species
CGAAUGCUGACAUAAGUAACGAUAAAGCGGGUGAAAAGCCCGCUCGCCGGAAGACCAAGGGUUCCUGUCCAACGUUAAUCGGGGCAGGGUGAGUCGACCCCUAAGGCGAGGCCGAAAGGCGUAGUCGAUGGGAAACAGGUUAAUAUUCCUGUACUUGGUGUUACUGCGAAGGGGGGACGGAGAAGGCUAUGUUGGCCGGGCGACGGUUGUCCCGGUUUAAGCGUGUAGGCUGGUUUUCCAGGCAAAUCCGGAAAAUCAAGGCUGAGGCGUGAUGACGAGGCACUACGGUGCUGAAGCAACAAAUGCCCUGCUUCCAGGAAAAGCCUCUAAGCAUCAGGUAACAUCAAAUCGUACCCCAAACCGACACAGGUGGUCAGGUAGAGAAUACCAAGGCGCUUGAGAGAACUCGGGUGAAGGAACUAGGCAAAAUGGUGCCGUAACUUCGGGAGAAGGCACGCUGAUAUGUAGGUGAAGUCCCUCGCGGAUGGAGCUGAAAUCAGUCGAAGAUACCAGCUGGCUGCAACUGUUUAUUAAAAACACAGCACUGUGCAAACACGAAAGUGGACGUAUACGGUGUGACGCCUGCCCGGUGCCGGAAGGUUAAUUGAUGGGGUCAGCGCAAGCGAAGCUCUUGAUCGAAGCCCCGGUAAACGGCGGCCGUAACUAUAACGGUCCUAAGGUAGCGAAAUUCCUUGUCGGGUAAGUUCCGACCUGCACGAAUGGCGUAAUGAUGGCCAGGCUGUCUCCACCCGAGACUCAGUGAAAUUGAACUCGCUGUGAAGAUGCAGUGUACCCGCGGCAAGACGGAAAGACCCCGUGAACCUUUACUAUAGCUUGACACUGAACAUUGAGCCUUGAUGUGUAGGAUAGGUGGGAGGCUUUGAAGUGUGGACGCCAGUCUGCAUGGAGCCGACCUUGAAAUACCACCCUUUAAUGUUUGAUGUUCUAACGUGGACCCGUAAUCCGGGUUGCGGACAGUGUCUGGUGGGUAGUUUGACUGGGGCGGUCUCCUCCUAAAGAGUAACGGAGGAGCACGAAGGUUGGCUAAUCCUGGUCGGACAUCAGGAGGUUAGUGCAAUGGCAUAAGCCAGCUUGACUGCGAGCGUGACGGCGCGAGCAGGUGCGAAAGCAGGUCAUAGUGAUCCGGUGGUUCUGAAUGGAAGGGCCAUCGCUCAACGGAUAAAAGGUACUCCGGGGAUAACAGGCUGAUACCGCCCAAGAGUUCAUAUCGACGGCGGUGUUUGGCACCUCGAUGUCGGCUCAUCACAUCCUGGGGCUGAAGUAGGUCCCAAGGGUAUGGCUGUUCGCCAUUUAAAGUGGUACGCGAGCUGGGUUUAGAACGUCGUGAGACAGUUCGGUCCCUAUCUGCCGUGGGCGCUGGAGAACUGAGGGGGGCUGCUCCUAGUACGAGAGGACCGGAGUGGACGCAUCACUGGUGUUCGGGUUGUCAUGCCAAUGGCACUGCCCGGUAGCUAAAUGCGGAAGAGAUAAGUGCUGAAAGCAUCUAAGCACGAAACUUGCCCCGAGAUGAGUUCUCCCUGACCCUUUAAGGGUCCUGAAGGAACGUUGAAGACGACGACGUUGAUAGGCCGGGUGUGUAAGCGCAGCGAUGCGUUGAGCUAACCGGUACUAAUGAACCGUGAGG